ACGGGGGGAGCAAGCGUUGUUCGGAUUUACUGGGCGUAAAGGGCGCGCAGGCGGCGGACCAAGUCAGGCGUGAAAGCCCCGGGCUUAACCUGGGAGGUGCGUCUGGGACUGGUACGCUAGAGUUCGGGAGAGGAGAGUGGAAUUCCCAGUGUAGAGGUGAAAUUCGUAGAUAUUGGGAAGAACACCCGUGGCGAAGGCGGCUCUCUGGACCGAGACUGACGCUGAGGCGCGAAAGCGUGGGGAGCAAACAGGA
rnacentral:rRNA from 1 species